rnacentral:tRNA from 1 species
GGAGAUGUAACUCAGAAGAGUGCUUGCUUGACANGCAUGAACCCUUGGGUUCAAUCCCCAGCAACACAU